rnacentral:rRNA from 1 species
UACGUAGGUCACAAGCGUUAAUCGGAUUUAUUGGGCGUAAAGGGUCCGCAGGGGGUAUAUCAAGUUAGAUGUGAAAUCCUAUGGCUCAACCAUAGAACUGCAUUUAAAACUGAUGUACUGGAGUGUUGGAGAGGAGAGCAGAAUUCUUGGUGUAGCGGUGGAAUGCUUAGAUAUCAAGAGGAAUACCAAAAGCGAAGGCAGCUCUCUGGACAACUACUGACCCUCAUGGACGAAAGCGUGGGUAGCAAACAGG